rnacentral:rRNA from 2 species
GGGUUGUGAGGUUAAGCGACUAAGCGUACACGGUGGAUGCCCUGGCAGUCAGAGGCGAUGAAGGACGUGCUAAUCUGCGAAAAGCGUCGGUAAGGUGAUAUGAACCGUUAUAACCGGCGAUGUCCGAAUGGGGAAACCCAGUGCAAUUCGUUGCACUAUCGUUAACUGAAUACAUAGGUUAACGAGGCGAACCGGGGGAACUGAAACAUCUAAGUACCCCGAGGAAAAGAAAUCAACCGAGAUUCCCCCAGUAGCGGCGAGCGAACGGGGAGCAGCCCAGAGUCUGAAUCAGCUUGUGUGUUAGUGGAACGGUCUGGAAAGUCCGACGGUACAGGGUGAUAGUCCCGUACACCAAAAUGCACAGGUUGUGAACUCGAAGAGUAGGGCGGGACACGUGGUAUCCUGUCUGAAUAUGGGGGGACCAUCCUCCAAGGCUAAAUACUCCUGACUGACCGAUAGUGAACCAGUACCGUGAGGGAAAGGCGAAAAGAACCCCGGCGAGGGGAGUGAAAAAGAACCUGAAACCGUGUACGUACAAGCAGUGGGAGCACCUUCGGGUGUGACUGCGUACCUUUUGUAUAAUGGGUCAGCGACUUAUAUUCUGUAGCAAGGUUAACCGUAUAGGGGAGCCGCAGGGAAACCGAGUCUUAACUGGGCGUUAAGUUGCAGGGUAUAGACCCGAAACCCGGUGAUCUAGCCAUGGGCAGGUUGAAGGUUGGGUAACACUAACUGGAGGACCGAACCGACUAAUGUUGAAAAAUUAGCGGAUGACUUGUGGCUGGGGGUGAAAGGCCAAUCAAACCGGGAGAUAGCUGGUUCUCCCCGAAAGCUAUUUAGGUAGCGCCUCGUGAACUCAUCUUCGGGGGUAGAGCACUGUUUCGGCUAGGGGGUCAUCCCGACUUACCAACCCGAUGCAAACUACGAAUACCGAAGAAUGUUAUCACGGGAGACACACGGCGGGUGCUAACGUCCGUCGUGAAGAGGGAAACAACCCAGACCGCCAGCUAAGGUCCCAAAGUCAUGGUUAAGUGGGAAACGAUGUGGGAAGGCACAGACAGCCAGGAUGUUGGCUUAGAAGCAGCCAUCAUUUAAAGAAAGCGUAAUAGCUCACUGGUCGAGUCGGCCUGCGCGGAAGAUGUAACGGGGCUAAACCAUGCACCGAAGCUGCGGCAGCGACACUAUGUGUUGUUGGGUAGGGGAGCGUUCUGUAAGCCUGCGAAGGUGUGCUGUGAGGCAUGCUGGAGGUAUCAGAAGUGCGAAUGCUGACAUAAGUAACGAUAAAGCGGGUGAAAAGCCCGCUCGCCGGAAGACCAAGGGUUCCUGUCCAACGUUAAUCGGGGCAGGGUGAGUCGACCCCUAAGGCGAGGCCGAAAGGCGUAGUCGAUGGGAAACAGGUUAAUAUUCCUGUACUUGGUGUUACUGCGAAGGGGGGACGGAGAAGGCUAUGUUAGCCGGGCGACGGUUGUCCCGGUUUAAGCAUGUAGGCUGGUUAUCCAGGCAAAUCCGGAUAAUCAAGGCUGAGGUGUGAUGACGAGGCACUACGGUGCUGAAGUAACAAAUGCCCUGCUUCCAGGAAAAGCCUCUAAGCAUCAGGUAACAUCAAAUCGUACCCCAAACCGACACAGGUGGUCAGGUAGAGAAUACCAAGGCGCUUGAGAGAACUCGGGUGAAGGAACUAGGCAAAAUGGUGCCGUAACUUCGGGAGAAGGCACGCUGGUGUGUAGGUGAAGUCCCUGCGGAUGGAGCUGAGACCAGUCGAAGAUACCAGCUGGCUGCAACUGUUUAUUAAAAACACAGCACUGUGCAAACACGAAAGUGGACGUAUACGGUGUGACGCCUGCCCGGUGCCGGAAGGUUAAUUGAUGGGGUUAUCCGUAAGGAGAAGCUCUUGAUCGAAGCCCCGGUAAACGGCGGCCGUAACUAUAACGGUCCUAAGGUAGCGAAAUUCCUUGUCGGGUAAGUUCCGACCUGCACGAAUGGCGUAAUGAUGGCCAGGCUGUCUCCACCCGAGACUCAGUGAAAUUGAACUCGCUGUGAAGAUGCAGUGUACCCGCGGCAAGACGGAAAGACCCCGUGAACCUUUACUAUAGCUUGACACUGAACAUUGAGCCUUGAUGUGUAGGAUAGGUGGGAGGCUUUGAAGCGUGGACGCCAGUCUGCGUGGAGCCAACCUUGAAAUACCACCCUUUAAUGUUUGAUGUUCUAACGUUGGCCCCUGACCGGGGUUGCGGACAGUGUCUGGUGGGUAGUUUGACUGGGGCGGUCUCCUCCCAAAGCGUAACGGAGGAGCACGAAGGUUAGCUAAUCCUGGUCGGACAUCAGGAGGUUAGUGCAAUGGCAUAAGCUAGCUUGACUGCGAGCGUGACGGCGCGAGCAGGUGCGAAAGCAGGUCAUAGUGAUCCGGUGGUUCUGAAUGGAAGGGCCAUCGCUCAACGGAUAAAAGGUACUCCGGGGAUAACAGGCUGAUACCGCCCAAGAGUUCAUAUCGACGGCGGUGUUUGGCACCUCGAUGUCGGCUCAUCACAUCCUGGGGCUGAAGUAGGUCCCAAGGGUAUGGCUGUUCGCCAUUUAAAGUGGUACGCGAGCUGGGUUUAGAACGUCGUGAGACAGUUCGGUCCCUAUCUGCCGUGGGCGCUGGAGAAUUGAGGGGGGCUGCUCCUAGUACGAGAGGACCGGAGUGGACGCAUCACUGGUGUUCGGGUUGUCAUGCCAAUGGCACUGCCCGGUAGCUAAAUGCGGAAGAGAUAAGUGCUGAAAGCAUCUAAGCACGAAACUUGCCCCGAGAUGAGUUCUCCCUGAGACUAUAAGUCUCCUGAAGGAACGUUAAAGACGAUGACGUUGAUAGGCCGGGUGUGUAAGCGCAGCGAUGCGUUGAGCUAACCGGUACUAAUGAACCGUGAGGCUUAACCUUACAACGCCGAAG